GACGAACGCUGGCGGCGUGCCUAACACAUGCAAGUCGAACGGGGUAAUGACUUCGGUUAUUACUUAGUGGCGAACGGGUGAGUAACGCGUGAGGAACCUGCCUUUCAGUGGGGGACAACAGUUGGAAACGACUGCUAAUACCGCAUAAUGUAUCGAUGGGGCAUCCUGUUGAUACCAAAGAUUUAUUGCUGAAAGAUGGUCUCGCGUCUGAUUAGCUAGUUGGUGAGGUAACGGCUCACCAAGGCGACGAUCAGUAGCCGGUCUGAGAGGAUGAACGGCCACAUUGGGACUGGAGAUACGGCCCAG
rnacentral:rRNA from 1 species